rnacentral:rRNA from 1 species
UACGUAGGGUGCGAGCGUUUGUCCGGAAUUAUUGGGCGUAAAGAGCUCGUAGGCGGUGUGUCACGUCGGCCGUGAAAACCUGCAGCUUAACUGUGGGCGUGCGGUCGAUACGGGCAUCACUGGAGUUCGGCAGGGGAGACUGGAAUUCCUGGUGUAGCGGUGAAAUGUGCAGAUAUCAGGAGGAACACCGAUGGCGAAGGCAGGUCUCUGGGCUGACACUGACGCUCAUGCACGAAAGCGUGGGGAGCAAACAGG